GUUUAGUUGCAGUCAGUAGAUGUGCCAGAACCACAGUUAUCACGGUGUUAUCGAAAUCAAAAUCUGGUUUUCAAAAAAGGAAAGUGAGGAAAGACAAAGGAAAGGGUGUCAAUCUCUAACCCAGUUUUUCCUCUAAGAAAGAAGACUUAACAACAGAUGAGUCAGCAGCAGUCCAGUCUCCCCAUAACUGUCUCCCUCCCUGUCCCAGUGAAGAAGCACCUCGAAUGGCAAGCUCCAGGCUAGGUUGACGUUGUGUUUGUAUUCAUCCAUCCAGACUUCUGCUACCCUCAGGGCGUUUCUCCUCAUGGCAGCGUCCAGGUCAGGUGUGUAGGGCUUGUGAAGCCUUGCG